ensembl:lncRNA
CCCAUGCCCUUUCCAUGUUCUAUCAUUGUUUUGUACACAGAGCAGAAGAACAAAGAGGUUCCUUUAAAUAAUUAUAUUCUUCCUCUGCUAAAUAUAGAUUAGGGUUUUUUUCUGAUGGUUAUUAAAAAAAAUCGUGCUAAUUUACGCUGCUAAUGACAGAUUUACUGGCAUUCAUGCAACUCGUACUGUCAAUAUAGUUUCUAAAAAAUGACUGCACGUGUGUUAUUUCUGGAGCUUCUGAGCUGAAUAUACAGCUGGUGGGUGCCGUUCUGCUGCCUUCCCGGCAUCUCUGCACUCAGCUGCCAAUUAGACCCAAGUGCUCCUAGUGGUGGUCUUGUUGCUACAGAACCUGGGGGGAUUCAGGAAAUCUGCAUUCAGUUCUGAGAUUCAACCCCAGUGAAUUCCCUGAGUAACGUGCAGCAAAGCAGCCUUUUGGCUCAGUUCUGUUGUAAAUAGGCACGUAGUUAAUAGGGCCUCUUGUCCCAUGGUCACAAGUUCAAAGGACCGUGGUGGGUUGGCCCUGGCCAGCAGUGAGACGUCGCCACAGCCAUCACUGAACCAAUGCUUGAAGCUUCUCUACAAAGCAAGUUUCCAUGAUCUGAAGUGGGUUUUUCCUUUCUUUCCGCACCCACAAAGACACAUCAAAUGGUUCUUCAUUAUUUAAAUCCUUCUUUUCAAGAGGAAUUACCAACUGGGCAGGAUGCUGGCUGUUGAACAAUGUGUCAUGUUUCCAGUUCUAAAUCCCACAUAAUUAGCUGAGUGUACCGGAGGAAACCAUAAUUUGCAUAAGGUUGCUGAAUAAUCAUUACAUUCUUUUAAAAUUACUUAGAUUGGAACGCUUUCUGUUCUGCCUUUGCAUGACAGAAGUGGUGGAGACCUGGCUGUAGCCGAGGACAAGGACCUUGGGGACAGGUGAAACAUGGCCUUUCUGCUGCUGGGGCACAACCUCUCGCCUCAGCACACCACCAAUCUCUGCACAGGAGGAAAUGAUGCUGAUGUUUUGGUGCCAGGAUGUGCUGUUUAAAGCCUUCUCCAAAUGACUCCCAGGUUCUGGGAAGCUGAACAGUCUGAAAGACAAAAUCAGUUCCCCUCCUGGUGCUUGUCAUGACCUGACCUACCCAACACAUUCAUGGCUGCUGUCGACAACCAGAACAGAUCAAGUGUCUUUUUACGACACUUACUUUUCUUGCAAAGGAGAUGACAUCUGACUGUUCUUUCAGUAGCAAAACCCUCGUGUGAACUUGAAGGACUUGCUGAAAUUGCCAACGUGCUCUCGCCAUGCACCAAAGCAAUAGGAACCACAUGGGGCUGUGGGGAAGGGAGUUGCUGCUCCCCACCAACACCCAUCCCAGUACAAACAGUGAGCCCCAGAGACAACGGUGAGGACAGCAGCUCCUUUUCUGCCAGUAUUUCACAGUCGGACCAUCCAGGAUUUGUUUUUUGCAUCACCAACCUUCAGAUGUGCAGGAAAAGUGAUGUUUGCAGAGGACUUUGCUGCCUGUGCCAGCAAUCAGGGCCGAAUUAAGGGACUUGACGCUGAGAGGGGAUGAGGACAUUGAGUCAACGUGCAAUCUAAUCCGAUAUGUCAAAGAGAAAGAGGGGCUUUUGUGCUGGUUAAUGGACUGUCCUUUGGAGACGCAGCACUUGCCUCCGGGAAUGACGCACACGUCGGCCAGGCUGGAGUGCUCGGAAGGAAUUAGGCUGUAUAAUUUCAGGUUGCCUUUGAGUCAAAGAAAGUUUUUAGAGAUUCAUUCCUUAUUUAUUGACAUGUUUGCUUUUGCCGCAGAGAAAGAAAAGGAAAAGUCCUGUGAGAUGGAAAAAAAAAAACCCACUUUCCAUCAUGCUUCUAAAAAGAGCCUCAGGAUUUUUUACGAAGUCCCAGUUAAAAACUGCCUGCAAAGUUAAUUGGAGGACUGGACAAAAACCACAGUAUUUUUUUUCUUUACAUGAAUUCUUGCCUUUGCUUUGCCUAAGUGCACUCUGUGCCUAUGAUAUUGAAUGUGACCAUGUGCAGAAUAAAAAAUGAUUGCUUC